ensembl:lncRNA
GGGGAGGGAGGGGAGCUGGGAGAGGAGGUGUUGGAACCGCCAGGGGACAGUGGGGUCGGUUGGAUCUGUCCUUAUGAUCUGUCCUUGUCAGAUACAGGCAGUGCAGUCAGGCAGAAAGGAAAGAAAAAGGAUUUGAGAAAACUCACAAGAAUUACACAAAGUGGCAAUGUUAUGAAGUAUGAAUGCCUGAACACAGUGAACUUCUGAUCAUUUUCUCAGCCUCUGGCAGUAGUUAUCUGAGGCUUACAGGAUGGAGAAAUCAAAAGUGCCAUUUUCUGGCCACUGAGAGCCAUUUUCUAAUUUAUAUUGUGGCCAUGCAGUGUUACAGAAGCACAUUAGAUGUUCAGGCUUUAGAUCAGAAUAUAGGUGGAAAGGUCUCUGAAUUUUCAAUACAUAGGCUAGAGGAGAGGAAGAAGGAAGGGUCCACAUUAGGGCAGAGAGAAAUAAGCUUCUGUAAUGCCUGGUGUGCCGAACAGCAACGGCGUCAACAGUGGAUGUCUCCAACUCUGACUGAGGUUGUGACACGAUGUAGAGAUGGAACUCAGGACCUUGGGCUUGGGAGGCAGGCAUCGUGUCACCGAGCUACAUCCCCGGCCCACGUCAUGCAUUUCUUAAAGGCCAGCUGUGGAAUUCCAAGACAUAACUCCAUUUCGGCUCCCGGUCACAACUGAGACCUCAGUGAUCUGGUGAUGCUGUGAUUCUCCAGGACAAGAUUACACCAGCUGAAAACAUCCUGGGAAGAACAAACAUCUACUCAGUUCUUCAUUGUUCUUGGAUUGUUAUGCUUUGUUUAUCUGAUGUACUGAAUUCUCCGCAAGUCAUUUGUUACAUCAGUUUCUCCCAAUGUACUGAAUAAAAGAUGCGCAUGCUGAGCUGCUGAGCCCAUUCGUGGGUGAAUCCCCAUGACCUCCACGAUCCUAUCACCUUUGAAAAACUCCACCUCUGAGCACAUGAGAGCUUUGGACCAAAACCAUAAAAUCUGCCUGUGUGAGUCUAAGUAGAUACCAGAGCUAUGCCUGGACUUUUGACAUCCAGGAAUGGGAAAUAGUAAACUGGUGUUUCUGUUUUAAGUAUUUGAAUUUGUGGUAUUUUAUUAAGGUGCAAAAAUACCUACCUAGCACACCAUUUAUGGUGUAGGCAAAGGCAAUAAACAGUAAACUAAACAACAGGCUCCUCAUGAGUGAACAGGUCUGCAAAGAUGUUAGUAUCUUUCAUACUUUUUCCAACUAUGGCAUCUAAGCCAAAUAAAUUCACCUCCUC